GGGAGGGCUCAGGAUAACAGACUAUGCCCUCCUGCAGUGCCUGGCUGGUUGGCUGUGGAGUAAACAGUUCCAGUAAGGAAACAAAGCAUGCAUGUGACUAAACAGGCUGUAGAAGGAGCUGACACCCCUCCCCAACCUCUCAGAACAUGAUUGAUGAGCCACAUGUUGGCACUUCUUGAGCUGUUAACCGGACAAAUUGGUCUUCGAGGACCUGACACACCUCUUGCAUCUCCUGUUGUAUUGAUGCAGUCCCAGCCUGGAAAAGUCCCAGGCUUUCUGCCCAAGACCUACCUGCCAGAAAGAGCCAUGCAAGGGGGCAGUGAGAGGGCUUAGUGAGUAAACGUGCUUGCUGUGAAACCUGAAGAUCUGAGUAUGAACCCUGCGUUGACAUGGCGGAAGGAGAGAACUGACUCCUCUGGGCUCCCCAUGCCCACGGUGCA